rnacentral:rRNA from 1 species
AUUGAACGCUGGCGGCAGGCCUACCACAUGCAAGUCGAACGAGUGGCGGAAGGGUGAGUAAUGUCUGGGAAACUGCCCGAUGGAGGUGGAUAACUACUGGAAACGGUAGCUAAUACCGCAUACCAUCGGAUGUGCCCAUAUGGGAUUAGCUAGUAGGUGGGGUAAUGGCUCACCUAGGCGACGAUCCCUAGCUGGUCUGAGAGGAUGACCAGCCACAAGGUAACUGAGACACGGUCCAGACUCCUACGGGAGGAAGCAGUGGGGAAUAUUGAACAUGGGGCGCAAGCUGGAUGCAGCCAUGCCGCGUGUAUGAAGAAGGCCUUCGGGUGGUAAAGUACUUUCAGCGGGGAGGCGUUACCCGCAGAAGAAGCACCGGCUAACUCCGUGCCAGCAGCCGCGGUAAUUC